GUGCAGCAGUCGCGAAACUUUACAAUGUGCGAAAGCACGAUAAGGGAACUCUGAGUGCCUCCUAAGGAGGCUGUUCAGGUGUCUAAAAGCACCUGAAGGAAGGGCUGGGUAAGACCGGUGCCAGCCGCCGCGGUAACACCGGCAGCCCAAGUGGUAGCCACGUUUAUUGGGUCUAAAGCGUCCGUAGCCGGCUGGGUAAGUUCCUUGGGAAAUUUGGCUGCUUAACAGUCAAGCUUUCAGGGAAUACUGCCCGGCUUGGGACCGGGAGAGGUCAGAGGUACUCCAGGGGUAGGGGUGAAAUCCAUUAAUCCUUGGGGGACCACCGGUAGCGAAGGCGUCUGACCAGACCGGGUCCGACGGUGAGGGACGAAGGCUAGGGGCGCGAACCGGAUUA
rnacentral:rRNA from 1 species